GCUGGCGGCAGGCCUAACACAUGCAAGUCGAGCGGUAACACAGAGAGCUUGCUCUCGGGUGACAAGCGGCGGACGGGUGAGUAACGCGUAGGAAUCUACCUAAUAGUGGGGGAUAGCCCAGGGAAACUUGGAUUAAUACCGCAUACGCCCUAAGGGGGAAAGCGGGGGAUCUUCGGACCUCGUGCUAUUAGAUGAGCCUGCGUAAGAUUAGCUAGUUGGUGAGGUAAGAGCUCACCAAGGCGACGAUCUUUAGCUGGUCUGAGAGGAUGAUCAGCCACACUGGGACUGAGACACGGCCCAGACUCCUACGGGAGGCAGCAGUGGGGAAUAUUGGACAAUGGGGGCAACCCUGAUCCAGCCAUGCCGCGUGUGUGAAGAAGGCCUUCGGGUUGUAAAGCACUUUCAGAUGUGAGGAAAGGUUGCAGAUUAAUACUCUGUAGCUGUGACGUUAACAUCAGAAGAAGGACCGGCUAACUCCGUGCCAGCAGCCGCGGUAAUACGGAGGGUCCGAGCGUUAAUCGGAAUUACUGGGCGUAAAGCGCGCGUAGGUGGUUUCGUCAGUCAGAUGUGAAAGCCCAGGGCUCAACCUUGGAACUGCACCUGAUACUGCGGAACUAGAGUACGAUAGAGGGGAGUGGAAUUUCC
rnacentral:rRNA from 1 species